AGUGAACGCUGGCGGUAGGCCUAACACAUGCAAGUCGAACGGCAGCACAGGAGAGCUUGCUCUCUGGGUGGCGAGUGGCGGACGGGUGAGGAAUACAUCGGAAUCUACUCUGUCGUGGGGGAUAACGUAGGGAAACUUACGCUAAUACCGCAUACGACCUACGGGUGAAAGCAGGGGACCUUCGGGCCUUGCGCGAUUGAAUGAGCCGAUGUCGGAUUAGCUAGUUGGCGGGGUAAAGGCCCAACAAGGCGACGAUCCGUAGCUGGUCUGAGAGGAUGGUCAGCCACACUGGAACUGAGACACGGUCCAGACUCCUACGGGAGGCAGCAGUGGGGAGUAUUGGACAAUGGGCGCAAGCCUGAUCCAGCCAUACCGCGUGGGUGAAGAAGGCCUUCGGGUUGUAAAGCCCUCUUGUUGGGAAAGAAAUCCAGAUGGCUAAUACCCGGUUGGGAUGACGGUACCCAAAGAAUAAGCACCGGCUAACUUCGUGCCAGCAGCCGCCGUAA
rnacentral:rRNA from 1 species